UUCAUCUGAUCCAGCUGUCUCUUCUCCAUUCUCCAGAAAUGAAAGGAGAGCCUGCGGAGAAAGAAGCAUUUCCCGGAGGAAGCAGUGGUUGCAUGCCAGCCUCAGCUCCAGGAAGGGAGGCCAUGCCAGGCACAGGCACAGGAGAUGAGGGUGCUGGGAAGGCUUCUCCAUCAGCUUGGAUGAAUAAAGUUUUGAAGCCCUUGGAGCCUCCUGCAGGUAUGUUCUCAGCGUGCCACCAAGGAAGAAUUGUAGACAAGCGGGCAGGCACCAGGUGACAGAAGCUUCUGUGGCUGUUGUGUUACAGAUGUGUCUACAGGGAAGACUUCUCCAGCUUCUCCAGCUGCUACCUUGGAUGCUGCACUCAAGCCCAGCUCCCAUCUCAGGGGUACUCCAACAGGGAAAAUCCAAGAUACAACAGAUAAGAUAUCCCUGGAACCAUCCAAACAGAUGAGGCAAGAGCUGAAGGAACCCCUGCAGACAAGAGAAGAGAUGGACAUAGUGCUUCAGUGGAAGGUGGUAUUUCUUGAAGGAAGCACUCCAUCUUCGGUGCCAGCCCCUGCUGCAGGAAGGAAGGCAAAGCCAGACACGGGCACAGGCACAGCAG